UGGGGAAUCUUGCACAAUGGGCGAAAGCCUGAUGCAGCAACGCCGCGUGCGGGAAGACAGCCCUAGGGUUGUAAACCGCUUUCAGCAGGGAAGAAACUGACGGUACCUGCAGAAGAAGAUGCGGCCAACUACGUGCCAGCAGCCGCGGUGACACGUAGGCAUCAAGCGUUAUCCGGAUUUAUUGGGCGUAAAGAGCUCGUAGGCGGUUCGGUAAGUCGGGUGUGAAAACUCUGGGCUCAACCCAGAGAGGCCACUCGAUACUGCUGUGACUAGAGUGCGGUAGGGGAGCGGGGAAUUCCUGGUGUAGCGGUGAAAUGCGCAGAUAUCAGGAGGAACACCGGUGGCGAAGGCGGGUCUCUGGGCCGGAACUGACGCUGAGGAGCGAAAGCGUGGGGAGCGAACAGGAUUAGAUACCCUGGUAGUCCACGCCGUAAACGAUGUCUGCUAGACGUCGGGGGGUCGCAGCCCUUCGGUGUCGCAGCUAACGCAUUAAGCGCCCCAGCCUGGGAGUACGGUCGCAAGAUUAAAA
rnacentral:rRNA from 1 species